rnacentral:rRNA from 1 species
AUACGUAGGUGGCGAGCGUUGUCCGGAUUUACUGGGCGUAAAGGGAGCGUAGGCGGAUUUUUAAGUGAGAUGUGAAAUACUCGGGCUUAACCUGAGUGCUGCAUUUCAAACUGGAAGUCUAGAGUGCAGGAGAGGAGAAGGGAAUUCCUAGUGUAGCGGUGAAAUGCGUAGAGAUUAGGAAGAACACCAGUGGCGAAGGCGCUUCUCUGGACUGUAACUGGCACUGAGGCAACGAAAGCGGUGGGGAGAC